AAUAACUCCUAAAGGACAGUAGUUACAAAAUAGACAACCUUGUCACACCAUAAAGGACUCACCGCAAAUUUACUUAAAUAUAUGAAGUUUUACUAUUAUAGCAACACAUUUGUUGUUUUAUUAGUAAAGUGGUUCUGAAAACUUGUAAUAAUGAAGUAUUAACACUUAUUAUAACUAAGUUAGUUAGUUUUUUUUUUCGAGAACUGAGGAUUUUGGCAAAGAGCAAACAACUAACAUUCAAAUGAAGAAAGGUUACAGAACCCAGAAACUGGGUUGGAACAACAAACAAACAAGAACAAGAAAGAACAAAGCACCAUAAAGCAAACCCAAACUACAACACAAGAGCCGCCCAAGGAGUAUCUCAGCAAGGAGGACAGCACCGUGACAUCGACUGCGUCUCUGCCAUGGAGAGAACACCAAGCUACACGACCAAGAAGAUCGAGAUAUCUCAGAACGCACCAACAAAGAAAGACAACAGGGCCUAAACCAGGGCAGAAGGAAAGGGAUAAGAGUCGCUGAAGAGAGCGACACCCAGGGACAGCAACCAGUUUGAGAGGAAGAAGUAGAGAUCUGGAAAUUUGGGCGUGUGAGUCCUGAGGAACAGAUCGAGGAGAAGACGAAAAAGGGGGGCAAUCAACAUGAAGGGAAAGACAAUCUCUCUCUCUCUAGAAAUUUGAGCAUAAAGCCCAAAUCUUUGUGUUCUUCACCCGCUGCUGUCUUUUCAGAACACUGAUGGCUGCCAAGAAAAUAUACAAAACUGUAUCAGAAAUGUUGGGGAAUCUUAUAAUAUUUGGGUUGUUAAUGUCAGAGGCCAUCGACAUUACUUUGUUGGUUCCAUUUCAUUUUCAUUCAUAUAUUCUUGAUUGGUAUAUAUAUUUUCUUCAAUGAA